CAGAUGCUUUGGCAAGUUUUAUGAUCAGACACAAAUUUGCCGAAGCUCGCAGUGAAACUAAAAGUUCCUCGUACCCGUUCAUGCGGUGAAAUGAGAAUAAAGCAGAGGACACUGAGAAGCAGGCCUGAAACCUCCACCAGAUCCAACAUCCUUCACAUCCAGCAAAAACAGCUUACUUUAGCCAUAAAUCCAGUCACUAUCCUUGAGUUUAGAAUAAAGAUUUGAAUGUUCAUUAUUCAACUGUGUCAGAAUUUCAGGAAACAUUUAAUUGAGAUGGAAUCAUGUGACAUCAUCAAAGUCAAGAGACGUAAAACACGGUGUAAAUGAGAAGCACGACGUUUAGCCCCAAAAAUGUAUAUUAAAAUUUAUUAAUAUUCAAAACACAGUCUGACUGAAACACGUGCAAAAUACUGAGCAUGAAAUGGAACAAACCUCUACUGAGAGUGUGUGUGUGUGUGUGUUUUGUGACAAAUGAGGACAUAAAUUUGUAUAAUGACAAG